GAGUUUGAUCGUGGCUCAGAUUGAACGCUGGCGGCAUGCCUUACACAUGCAAGUCGAACGGUAACAGGUCUUCGGAUGCUGACGAGUGGCGAACGGGUGAGUAAUACAUCGGAACGUGCCCGAUCGUGGGGGGAUAACGAAGCGAAAGCUUUGCUAAUACCGCAUACGAUCUACGGAUGAAAGCAGGGGACCGCAAGGCCUUGCGCGAACGGAGCGGCCGAUGGCAGAUUAGGUAGUUGGUGGGAUAAAAGCUUACCAAGCCGACGAUCUGUAGCUGGUCUGAGAGGACGACCAGCCACACUGGGACUGAGACACGACCCAGACUCCUACGGGAGGCAGCAGUGGGGAAUUUUGGACAAUGGGCGAAAGCCUGAUCCAGCCAUGCCGCGUGCAGGAUGAAGGCCUCGG
rnacentral:rRNA from 1 species